AGAAUAUCUCUGAAGCUAGAUUGACACAAGGGAAAAACACCUUCCCCUCCUAGUUUUAAGAAACUUCUUCUUGGCUCCCAGGAGGAGGGGUUCCUUGAUGUUGACACACAUGAGCCGCCUGGGUACAAACCCCUUGGUGGCGUGGAAAAAACUAAGAUUCAGUUUUUAUGUCCUCUUCUCCCUCUCUGCCUUCAACAUAGACUUGACUCCCUUAAACCCAGAGACCUGUUGGAACCUGACCCCCAAGACAUGGUUCCCAGUAUGUCAGGCAAUCUUGACAAAGUGUCACCACUGAGAUGGCGUCCCUCAAAAGAGUUCCUUUUUUAGCUCGUCGAUCUUCAGAUGGAUAAUCUUGCCAUUUUCAUUUCAUUUCCCGAAAGUCAGGGUCGCUUGUGAAAAGUUGUUAAACAACAUGCUAAAUGUGAACUGUCCGCCCUCACUCUAAAUGAAAUGAAAAUGGUAG